rnacentral:ncRNA from 2 species
AAUGUCGACUGCAAGGUCAUUGACGAUCAGAUACCGUCCUAGUGUCAACCAUAAACGAUGCCAACCAGGGAUCGACGGAUGUUGCUUAUAGGAUUCGCCGACACCUUAUGAGAAAUCAAAGUAUCUGGGU